rnacentral:rRNA from 1 species
GUCCACGCAGUAAACGAUGGGUACUAGGUGUGGCGGGAGUUGACCCCUGCCGUGCCGGCGCUAACGCAGUAAGUACCCCGCCUGGGGAGUACGGCCGCAAGGCUAAAACUCAAAGGAAUUGACGGGGGCCCGCACAAGCAGCGGAGCGUGUGGUUUAAUUCGACGCAACGCGCAACACCUUACCAAGGUUUGACAUCCACCGAACCCCGGUGAAAGCUGGGGGUGCCUUCGGGAGCGGUGAGACAGGUGCUGCAUGGCUGUCGU